GGGGAUUUAGCUCAGUGGUAGAGCGCUUGCCUACGAAGCGCAAGGCCCUGGGUUCGGUCCCCAGCUCCA
rfam:Rattus norvegicus chromosome 14, whole genome shotgun sequence.